rnacentral:rRNA from 1 species
AUACUGCAGUCGAGCGAACGGACGAGAAGCUUGCUUCUCUGAUGUUAGCGGCGGACGGGUGAGUAACACGUGGAUAACCUACCUAUAAGACUGGGAUAACUUCGGGAAACCGGAGCUAAUACCGGAUAAUAUUUUGAACCGCAUGGUUCAAAAGUGAAAGACGGUCUUGCUGUCACUUAUAGAUGGAUCCGCGCUGCAUUAGCUAGUUGGUAAGGUAACGGCUUACCAAGGCAACGAUGCAUAGCCGACCUGAGAGGGUGAUCGGCCACACUGGAACUGAGACACGGUCCAGACUCCUACGGGAGGCAGCAGUAGGGAAUCUUCCGCAAUGGGCGAAAGCCUGACGGAGCAACGCCGCGUGAGUGAUGAAGGUCUUCGGAUCGUAAAACUCUGUUAUUAGGGAAGAACAUAUGUGUAAGUAACUGUGCACAUCUUGACGGUACCUAAUCAGAAAGCCACGGCUAACUACGUGCCAGCAGCCGCGGUAAUACGUAGGUGGCAAGCGUUAUCCGGAAUUAUUGGGCGUAAAGCGCGCGUAGGCGGUUUUUUAAGUCUGAUGUGAAAGCCCACGGCUCAACCGUGGAGGGUCAUUGGAAACUGGAAAACUUGAGUGCAGAAGAGGAAAGUGGAAUUCCAUGUGUAGCGGUGAAAUGCGCAGAGAUAUGGAGGAACACCAGUGGCGAAGGCGACUUUCUGGUCUGUAACUGACGCUGAUGUGCGAAAGCGUGGGGAUCAAACAGGAUUAGAUACCCUGGUAGUCCACGCCGUAAACGAUGAGUGCUAAGUGGUUAGGGGGUUUCCGCCCCUUAGUGCUGCAGCUAACGCAUUAAGCACUCCGGCCUGGGGAGUACGACCGCAAGGUUGAAACUCAAAGGAAUUGACGG